CCGGAAUAGCUCAGUUGGUA
rnacentral:tRNA from 3 species